GUAAGUCGGUCUAAAUGCGGGGCUCAACCCGUGAGGGGAUCGAAACUAUCAUUCUUGAGUGCAGGAGAGGAAAGCGGAAUUCCCAGUGUAGCGGUGAAAUGCGUAGAUAUUGGGAGGAACACCAGUGGCGAAGGCGGCUUUCUGGACUGUAACUGACGCUGAGGCUCGUGAAAGCCAUGGGGUAGCGUAACCGGGAUUAGAUACCCCCGGUUAGUCCUGUGCCGUAAUAUCGAUGAAUUAACUAGGUGUUAGGAAUGUUUAUCGUACCCCUUCUGUGCCGGAGUUAACGCAAUAAGUAUUCCGCCUGGGGAGUACGGUCGCAAGACUGAAACUCAAAGGAAUUGACGGGGGCCCGCACAAGCGGUGGAGUUAUGUGGUUUAAUUCGACGCAACGCGAAGAACCUUACCAGGUCUUGACAUUGAGUGAAAAGCAUAGAGAUAUGCUCCUCUCAUCGGAGACACGAAAACAGUUGGUGCAUGGCUGUCGUCAGCUCGUGUCGUGAGAUGUUGGGUUAAGUCCCGCUAACGAGCGCAACCCCUAUACUUUGUUGCCAGCACGUAAAGUGGGAACUCAAAGUAGACUGCCGUCGGACAACGCGGAGGAAGGCGGGGAUGACGUCAAGUCAUCAUGCCCCUUAUGACCUGGGCUACACACGUACUACAAUGGGAAGGACAGAGAGCAGCGAAAGGGCGACCUCAAGCGAACCUCAAAAACCUUCUCCCAGUUCGGAUUGCAGGCUGCAACCCGCCUGCAUGAAGUCGGAAUCGCUAGUAAUCGCAGGUCAGCAUACUGCGGUGAAUACGUUCCCGGGCCUUGUACACACCGCCCGUCACACCACGGAAGUCAUUCACACCCGAAGCCGGUGGAUUAACCGAGGAGAUAGCCGUCUAAGUGGGCGAUGACUGGG
rnacentral:rRNA from 1 species